rnacentral:rRNA from 1 species
GCAAGUGUGAAACUCAAAGGAAUUGACGGGGACCCGCACAAGCAGCGGAGCAUGUGGUUUAAUUCGAAGCAACGCGAAGAACCUUACCAAAUCUUGACAUCCUAUUGACCGUCACUUAAUCGUGAUUUUUCUCUUCGGAGAACAGUAGUGACAGGUGGUGCAUGGUUGUCGUCAGCUCGUGUCGUGAGAUGUUGGGUUAAGUCCCGCAACGAGCGCAACCCUUGUCUUUAGUUGCCAUCAGUUAGGCUGGGCACUCUAGAGAGACUGCCGGUGACAAACCGGAGGAAGGUGGGGAUGACGUCAAAUCAUCAUGCCCCUUAUGAUUUGGGCUACACACGUGCUACAAUGGUCGGUACAACGGGCAGCGAAGGAGUGAUCUGGAGCGAAUCCUAAAAAGCCGAUCCCAGUUCGGAUUGUAGGCUGCAACUCGCCUACAUGAAGUUGGAGUUGCUAGUAAUCGUGAAUCAGAAUGUCGCGGUGAAUGCGUUCCCGGGUCUUGUACACACCGCCCGUCACACCAUGGAAGUUGGGGGCACCCGAAGCCAGUGAUCCAACCGUUUACGGAGGAAGCUGUUCAGGAAACAGCUAUGACCAGGAUGAAGUCAUGCCAAGGUA